rnacentral:tRNA from 1 species
UCUAAAAUGGCAGAUCAUUGCGCAGGAUUUAAGCUCCUGAUAGGAAAUUCGUAUUUCUUUUGGAA